GGAGUCUGGACCGUGUCUCAGUUCCAGUGUGGGGGACCUCCCUCUCAGGACCCCUAAACAUCGUAGCCUUGGUAGGCCGUUACCCUACCAACUAGCUAAUGUUACGCGAGCCAAUCCGUCACCUUCGCAAGAAUUUCUUAUACCUAAGAUGCCUUAAAUAUAAUCUAUGCGGUGUUAGACCACGUUUCCAUGGAUUAUCCCCCUGUGACGGGCAUGUUGCUCACGCGUUACGCACCCUUGCGCCGGUCGCCGACAAUGUAUUGCUACAUCUCGAUGCCCCUCGACUUGCAUGUGUUAAGCCUGCCGCUAGCGUUCAUC
rnacentral:rRNA from 1 species